UAUUUCUUAUUUCCUUUUUGGUUUGGUCAUUUGCCAGUUCCCUAUUCAUUUUCCAGUUUGUUCACAACACAUCGGCGUUUAUUAUAUUUUAUUUGCGCUCGCUUUUGCUUACAAUUCGCACAAUUGAUGGCCGCAAAAGCUUUUGGCUCGGCGCAAUUUGUUUUUAAUCGUUGCUUGUCAUUGACGCAAAUUCCGGCGGCAGAAUUGGUGCGGCAUAUCAUGUACACGGCAAUCUGAACAGUAUUUUUAUAUAAUAACAACAACAAGUGGUGUGUUUAUAUGCAAAAGUAUGAAUGUAUGCAUAUUGUUUAUGUGCGCUUUGCGCAGUGCUCUUAUCAAAAACAAAUGACGAAGCGAGAGUAUAUAGAAACCGGAGUACUUGUAGAAAAACAACAAAAAUUCAAUUGUGCGGGCAUUUAAAACUUAUCAAAAACGGAGUUACAACAAAUUUAGUUAAAAUAUGAAAUGUUAUGAGUAAAAGUUCUGAUAUUUUUUAAAUCAAAAAUCAUAAAUUAAAUGUGAAAUGUACCUGCUAUUGAUGAAAAUAAGUAUAUUGAGAAAAUGUCGCGCGUCUUUACUGUAGUUUAUGUAUUUCUUGUUAUGAAAAAAACUUCGUGUUAUGAAAAUAUGGCUUAUUAACAUUAUCUGAACGUUUUGGAAAACAAAUAUCAACAUAAUAAAACAAAUGCAGUACAAAUUU